rnacentral:rRNA from 1 species
ACGGGAGGCAGCAGUGAGGAAUAUUGGUCAAUGGGCGGAAGCCUGAACCAGCCAAGUCGCGUGAAGGAUGAAGGUAUUAUGUAUUGUAAACUUCUUUAGCUGUGGAGCAAUAAUCGCCAUGCAUGGCGAGAUGAGAGUACACAGAGAAUAAGGAUCGGCUAACUCCGUGCCAGCAGCCGCGGUAAUACGGAGGAUCCGAGCGUUAUCCGGAUUUAUUGGGUUUAAAGGGUGCGCAGGCGGCGUGCUAAGUCAGCGGUUAAAUAGUGAGGCUCAACCUCAUCCCGCCGUUGAUACUGGCAUGCUUGAUUGCGGUCGAGGUUGGCGGAAUUCGCCGUGUAGCGGUGAAAUGCAUAGAUAUGGCGAAGAACUCCGAUUGCGUAGGCAGCUGACCAGGCCGUAAAUGACGCUCAUGCACGAAAGUGCGGGGAUCGAACAGGAUUAGAUACCCUGGUA